UACGGGGGGAGCAAGCGUUGUUCGGAUUUACUGGGCGUAAAGGGCGCGUAGGCGGCGUGACAAGUCACUUGUGAAAUCUCCGGGCUUAACCCGGAGCGGCCAAGUGAUACUGUCGUGCUAGAGUGCGGAAGGGGCUACUGGAAUUCUCGGUGUAGCGGUGAAAUGCGUAGAUAUCGAGAGGAACACCUGCGGCGAAGGCGGCUCACUGGCCCGAUACUGACGCUGAGGCACGAAAGCGUGGGGAGCGAACAGG
rnacentral:rRNA from 1 species